rnacentral:tRNA from 1 species
UCCCUGGAGGACCAGUGGUUAGGCUGCAGCGCUCUCACUGCUGCGGCCUGGAUUCGAUUCCCAGCCAAGGAA